UACGUAGGGUGCAAGCGUUGUCCGGAAUUAUUGGGCGUAAAGAGCUCGUAGGCGGUUUGUCGCGUCUGCUGUGAAAACCCGAGGCUCAACCUCGGGCCUGCAGUGGGUACGGGGCAGACUAGAGUGCGGUAGGGGUGACUGGAAUUCCUGGUGUAGCGGUGGAAUGCGCAGAUAUCGGGAGGAACACCGAUGGCGAAGGCAGGUCACUGGGCCGCAACUGACGCUGAGGAGCGAAAGCAUGGGGAGCGAACAGG
rnacentral:rRNA from 1 species